rnacentral:misc_RNA from 1 species
AACGCACAUUGCGCCCCUUGGUAUUCCAUGGGGCAUGCCUGUUCGAGCGUCAUUUGUACCUCCAAGCUUUGCUUGGUGUUGGGUGCUUGUCUUCUAGACUCUCCUUAAAUAAAUUGGCCACUGAUCUUUGGGUAAGAAAGCGCAGUACAUUGUGUUAUUUCCAUCUAAAGUCAGGGACCAUUAAGCUUGAUACUUUUACGUUUGACCUCGGAUCAGGUAGGGAUACCCGCUGAACUUAA